GGAAAACACAGGCUUCCCCUGAGAUUUGGGAAAGCCCAGGAAAAACCAUCAAUGACAACUUUUAUCAAAGCAAGAGUUGUAGAUUUGGGAAUGAAAACUGGGGGCAGUAAUAGAAAGAAAGAGUUACGAACAAGAGGUAUCCUGAUAGCUUGCACUGCAAUCUCAACACUCACAUCACUAGCUCUGGUGAUUUUUGGUAUUCUUUUCUACAGAUACCGUGUUUGGAACUACAAAAAAAUUACAAGUCAAGGCAAUGAUGAACUGUUCGAAGAUGCCAUUUUGAGAUCAUUUGCGUAUGACGAGCUAAAAAAAGCAACUAACAAUUUCGAGGAUGAAAUUGGCAGAGGAGCUUUUGGGACAGUGUAUAGAGGUGUCAUAUCAAAUGGCAAUAGAGCUGUGGCAAUCAAGAGGCUAGGGGAAGUGGUGGCGGAAGGUGAGAGAGAAUUUCGGAAUGAGAUGAAAGUAAUAGGGAG
rnacentral:misc_RNA from 1 species